GAAUAUUGGACAAUGGGGGGAACCCUGAUCCAGCCAUGCCGCGUGUGUGAAGAAGGCCUUUUGGUUGUAAAGCACUUUAAGCGAGGCGGAGGCUACUUAGAUUAAUACUCUAGGAUAGUGGACGUUACUCGCAGAAUAAGCACCGGCUAACUCUGUGCCAGCAGCCGCGGUAAUACAGAGGGUGCAACCGGUAAGCGGAGGUACUGGGCGUAAAGCGCGCGUAGGGGGCCAAUUAAGUAAAAGGUGAAAGCCCCGAGCUUAACUUGGGAAUGGCAUUCGAUACUGGUUGGCUAGAGUAUGGGAGAGGAUGGUAGAAUUCCAGGUGUAGCGGGGAAAUGCGUAGAGAUCUGGAGGAAUACCGAUGGCGAAGGCAGCCAUCUGGCCUAAUACUGACACUGAGGUGCGAAAGCAUGGGGAGCAAACAG
rnacentral:rRNA from 1 species